GAUGAACGCUGGCGGCGUGCUUAACACAUGCAAGUCGAACGGUGAAGCUCCAGCUUGCUGGCGUGGAUCAGUGGCGAACGGGUGAGUAACACGUGAGCAACCUGCCCCUGACUCUGGGAUAACAGCCGGGAACGGCUGCUAAUACCGGAUAUGCACCAUGAACGCAUGUUCUGUGGUGGGAAAGAUUUUUCGGUUGGGGAUGGGCUCGCGGCCUAUCAGCUUGUUGGUGAGGUAAUGGCUCACCAAGGCGUCGACGGGUAGCCGGCCUGAGAGGGUGACCGGCCACACUGGGACUGAGACACGGCCCAGACUCCUACGGGAGGCAGCAGUGGGGAAUAUUGCACAAUGGGCGAAAGCCUGAUGCAGCAACGCCGCGUGAGGGAUGACGGCCUUCGGGUUGUAAACCUCUUUUAGCAGGGAAGAAGCGAGAGUGACGGUACCUGCAGAAAAAGCGCCGGCUAACUACGUG
rnacentral:rRNA from 1 species